GGGGUGGAGUGACGGAUAGGCAGAGAUGAAGAGAUGGGCCUUGAGGCGGGACUGGAAGAUGGUGAGGGAUUCAGAGUUGCGGAUCUCUUGGGGGAAGGAGUUCCAGAGCCUGGGAGCAGCCCUGGAGAAGGCUCUGUCCCCAAAACUGCAGAGGUUGGACUUGUGGGUGCCGAGGAGACCGGCUGGGGUGGAUCUGAGGGGCCGUGAAGGUUAGUAGGGGGAGAAGAGGUCAGUGAGGUGGAUAUGAGGGACCAGUG